AUUGAACGCUGGCGGCAUGCCUUACACAUGCAAGUCGAACGGUAACGGGCCUUCGGGUGCCGACGAGUGGAGAACGGGUGAGUAAUACAUCGGAACGUGCCCGAUCGUGGGGGAUAACGAGGCGAAAGCUUUGCUAAUACCGCAUACGAUCUACGGAUGAAAGCAGGGGACCGCAAGGCCUUGCGCGGACGGAGCGGCCGGUGGCAGAUUAGGUAGUUGGUGGGAUAAAAGCUUACCAAGCCGACGAUCUGUAGCUGGUCUGAGAGGAUGAUCAGCCACACUGGGACUGAGACACGGCCCAGACUCCUACGGGAGGCAGCAGUGGGGAAUUUUGGACAAUGGGCGCAAGCCUGAUCCAGCCAUGCCGCGUGCAGGAUGAAGGCCUUCGGGUUGUAAACUGCUUUUGUACGGAACGAAAAGCCUUCUUUUAAUACAGGAGGGUCAUGACGGUACCGUAAGAAUAAGCACCGGCUAACUACGU
rnacentral:rRNA from 1 species